CUUACCAGUCUAUGUUCUAUGUUCCAUGUUCCAUGUUGCACCAUUGCGCCAAGAAAUAUUCCUAGUCUGUGAAACCUUCACUGACAAUGGUAAUAA